rnacentral:rRNA from 1 species
CCUACGGGUGGCAGCAGUAGGGAAUAUUGCUCAAUGGGGGAAACCCUGAAGCAGCAACGCCGCGUGGAGGAUGAAGGUUUUCGGAUUGUAAAGUCCUUUUGUUAGAGAAGAAAAUGACGGUAUCUAACGAAUAAGCACCGGCUAACUCCGUGCCAGCAGCCGCGGUAAUACGGAGGGUGCAAGCGUUACUCGGAAUUACUGGGCGUAAAGAGCGCGUAGGCGGGAUAGCAAGUCAGAUGUGAAAACCUAUGGCUUAACCAUAGAACUGCAUUUGAAACUGUUAUUCUGGAGUAUGGGAGAGGUAUGUGGAAUUCUUGGUGUAGGGGUAAAAUCCGUAGAGAUCAAGAGGAAUACUCAUUGCGAAGGCGACCUGCUGGAACAUAACUGACGCUGAUGCGCGAAAGCGUGGGGAGCAAACAGGAUUAGAUACCCUAGUAGUC